rnacentral:tRNA from 1 species
GGGAGCAUAGCUCAGCUGGGAGAGCAUCUGCCUUACAAGCAGAGGGUCACAGGUUCGAGCCCUG